GGGGGUGUAAAGGUUUCGACAGGCGAAGAUAGAUACUGAUUGCGCUGGGAGGAUAGUGGUUGGCCUCUAGAAUAAUCCACUAAACAAUGAAUGCAAACAAUACAACUGCUGCAGACAAUUACGCCUUCGCAGGUGCAAUUGCUGCUUAGUACCAGCCUUGGAAUCUUCGGAAUCCAAGCGAGCUAGAGGGUAGACUUACUUCCCUGUGUAACCCUUCGGCUGUCAAAAAGAAGUAAUUGUAAUGGGACGGCGAGGAUGAUCCGAUAUUCGUCGUAUUUUAGGAAUCGGUUCCUGGUGCCUUGAUUGAUGGCUUACCUUGAACUUAAAACCAAAGUCAAUCUAUCAGCGUAGACGUUAGCAUCGAAGAGCGUUUGGACGUGGGUUCGACUCCCACCACCUCCACCA
rnacentral:tmRNA from 1 species